rnacentral:lncRNA from 1 species
UCUUCUUUGGGUCCCCGUAGUCCCCGUUCUCUUCUUCUUCAGUAACAACCAACAUCCACCAGCUCCAUCGACGACCACCCUUCAGCUCACCAUUAUCGCCGAACCUUCUCGCAACCACCUAGCGACACACCUCAACCCUAAAAUUUAGUCACCGAGCUCCACCCCGAUUCCGCCGACGACCAGACCUAAACACCCGACACC